rnacentral:rRNA from 1 species
AGAGUUUGAUCCUGGCUCAGGAUGAACGCUAGCUACAGGCUUAACACAUGCAAGUCGAGGGGCAGCAUCAUCAAAGCUUGCUUUGAUGGAUGGCGACCGGCGCACGGGUGAGUAACACGUAUCCAACCUGCCGACAACUCUGGGAUAGCCUUUCGAAAGAAAGAUUAAUACCGGAUGGCAUAGUUUUUCCGCAUGGGAUGAUUAUUAAAGAAUUUCGGUUGUCGAUGGGGAUGCGUUCCAUUAGGCAGUUGGCGGGGUAACGGCCCACCAAACCAACGAUGGAUAGGGGUUCUGAGAGGAAGGUCCCCCACAUUGGAACUGAGACACGGUCCAAACUCCUACGGGAGGCAGCAGUGAGGAAUAUUGGUCAAUGGGCGAGAGCCUGAACCAGCCAAGUAGCGUGAAGGAUGACUGCCCUAUGGGUUGUAAACUUCUUUUAUAAAGGAAUAAAGUCGGGUAUGUAUACCCGUUUGCAUGUACUUUAUGAAUAAGGAUCGGCUAACUCCGUGCCAGCAGCCGCGGUAAUACGGAGGAUCCGAGCGUUAUCCGGAUUUAUUGGGUUUAAAGGGAGCGUAGAUGGAUGUUUAAGUCAGUUGUGAAAGUUUGCGGCUCAACCGUAAAAUUGCAGUUGAUACUGGAUAUCUUGAGUGCAGUUGAGGCAGGCGGAAUUCGUGGUGUAGCGGUGAAAUGCUUAGAUAUCACGAAGAACUCCGAUUGCGAAGGCAGCCUGCUAAGCUGCAACUGACAUUGAGGCUCGAAAGUGUGGGUAUCAAACAGGAUUAGAUACCCUGGUAGUCCACACGGUAAACGAUGAAUACUCGCUGUUUGCGAUAUACAGCAAGCGGCCAAGCGAAAGCGUUAAGUAUUCCACCUGGGGAGUACGCCGGCAACGGUGAAACUCAAAGGAAUUGACGGGGGCCCGCACAAGCGGAGGAACAUGUG